GGGCCGGUGGCUCAGCUUGGUUAAUUGUUUCAAGCCAACGAGCACACGACUGAUAAUCGUGGGGUCGGGAGUUCAAAUCUCCCCCGGCCCA
rnacentral:tRNA from 1 species